rnacentral:rRNA from 1 species
GACGUAGGGCGCGAGCGUUGUCCGGAUUUAUUGGGCGUAAAGAGCUCGUAGGCGGCUUGUCGCGUCGACUGUGAAAUCCCGCGGCUCAACUGCGGGUCUGCAGUUCGAUACGGGCAGGCUAGAGUUCGGUAGGGGAGACGUGGAUUCUGGUGUAGCGGUGAAAUGCGUAGAUAUCUGGAGGAAUACCGGUGGCGAAGGCGG